CCGAGUUUACAACUCCCAAACCCAAUGUGAACGUUACCAAACUGUUGCCUCGGCGGGAUCUCUGCCCCGGGCGCGUCGCAGCCCCGGACCAAGGCGCCCGCCGGAGGACCAACCAAAACUCUUAUUGUAUACCCCCUCGCGGGUUUUUUUAUAAUCUGAGCCUUCUCGGCGCCUCUCGUAAGCGUUUCGAAAAUGAAUCA
rnacentral:misc_RNA from 1 species